UAAGGAAUAUUGGUCAAUGGGCGCAAGCCUGAACCAGCCAUGCCGCGUGCAGGAAGACGGCCCUAUGGGUUGUAAACUGCUUUUGUCAGGGAAUAAACCCCCGCUCGUGAGCGGGGCUGAAGGUACCUGAAGAAUAAGUAUCGGCUAACUCCGUGCCAGCAGCCGCGGUAAUACGGAGGAUGCAAGCGUUAUCCGGAUUCAUUGGGUUUAUAGGGUGCGCAGGCGGAUUGGUAAGUCAGGGGUGAAAUCCCACAGCUCAACUGUGGAACUGCCUUUGAUACUGUCAGUCUAGAGUAUAGUUGAAGUGGGCGGAAUGUGACAUGUAGCGGUGAAAUGCUUAGAUAUGACACAGAACACCGAUCGCGAAGGCAGCUCGCUAAGCUAUAACUGACGCUCAUGCACGAAAGCGUGGGGAUCAAACA
rnacentral:rRNA from 1 species